ACUCUUUUAGCACAGUAGGCAGUGUGUCAGUCUCAUAAUCUGAAGGUCCUGAGUUCAAUUCUGGAAAAGAGAG
rnacentral:tRNA from 1 species